AUUGGGAACGACACCAUCUGUUCUUCUUUCGACAUUGUUGUAAUUCAUUUGUCACCCUCUUCUUCGUUCCUCUUAUCCUAUUGAUUUGAGAAACUAAGUUCUCUAUUUCGUUUUAAUUCUUCUGAAACACUCCAUCGAUUUGCUAUAUCACAAAACUGAAAAAGAGAAUUUUCCAAGGUCCAAUACGGUGCUUACGGCUACAAAGGAUGGACGAUUGAUUUGAACUAAAUCGGUUUAAACGGGAGAUUUUUUGGGAUUUUGUUAAUUCAGGGAACGAAUCGAUCAUCUGGGUAAGCAACUUUUCAAACUUUUCUGAAUAAUUUCUUCUUUUACGAUUUCUACCAUUUACGGUUAUAUAGUGGUGUGCUCACGAAUUUGCAGAUUAUGAAGUCCUGUAGAAAGAUGAAAAUGGUUUUUUUUUUUUUUUGUAGUCUUGCAAAUGUAUAUUUUUAUCCGUUUUACUUUACAAAUUUGGCUGAAAGUUAUGACCUGUUAUUUGUGUUUUUUUUUUUCAUCUUUCGGAGGAAACAACUGCUGGAUACAUAAACUUUCGACCAACCAUACGAAGUCGAUGAAACUCUUCCAUUGUUUUGAAGAUAAACUACAAUCAGAUAAGUAUUUGAUACCUUGGCAAAUUUAUAUUAACCGGAAGUAAUUGCUUAUGUCUAUUGAAAUGCUAAGUGGCUGUUUAUUAUAUCUUUGUAGGUGACCUGAAAAAUCAUAUAAUUACCGAAAUCAAAGGCUGGGAAGUUUCUUCAUCAUACAGAGGAGUAACUUAAUUUCAGAAGGAUCCUGACCUGCACUUUCCAUGAAGUCUUGAAAGGCUUGAUGUCUGGGAGGAAAACGUAGGAAGCAGCCAUUGCGAGGCUUCAUUGUAGGGCUUCAUUGUGAGAAAUUUUUAUUAACGCCAAACCAAAGUAUUAGUAACAACGAAGCCGGGUUUCUUUUGAAAAGACGCGGAUCCUCGUCCAAACGGGUCGGUCAUGCAGUCAAUUCUACUACAUUCGAAUCCUCCGACUGCUCCACCUCCGUCCGUCGUGGCCGGCGAAACAUCUGAGACAGUUCCUGAAUCGAGACCUUCGUCUUGUCCGCUUGCCUCCUCCAUAGCAGUCAAAACCGCUAGGUAUGCAAAUCUUGUGUCCGGUGGACCAGAUCCAGCCGACCACGUUUUUGUCCACCACUAUCAAAUUUGUCCACACUGUAGGAUCCGCUGUCCGAUGGACCAGGUCCAGCUUACCAGGUCUGUAAAUCCAAUGGACCAUAUCUAUCGGCCAAAGUUUUUGUCCACCACUAUUUUGUCCUUCGUCUCUUGAGUUGACCAUAGUCAAGGUUUGGUCUCACGAUUCGUGGACUAAAAAUACAGGCCAACAACAAAGGCCAAAUUGUGGACUAAAAAUAUAGGACAUCAAAUUGUGGACUAAAAAUAUAUAUGAGAACAAAAAUUAUGUCCAUAGUUAAUGUUGUCCACCGUAUAAACUGUAAUAUCUCAUACCAAACAAUUAAUCACUAGCUUAUUUCUCGUUCUUUCUUACAAGGGUAAAUUUGUCUUUUUAUUUAUGCCAUAAAGAUGAAAAGUGGCAGUUCUCAUAAGAAACAUUAAAACUGGCAUUUCUAACAACUUUUGU